GGCUUCAGGGAUUCAGUGUUUGUUUCAGCCAUCAUCAGCAGUAAAAGUAGCAUGCGAAGAGCCAUGCAUGCAUUUCCCCAGCUGCUGCAGGUUACAUAAUAUAGACUGAACAGUGAAAAAGCAAGGAGUUUGGUGAAGUUAUUUCCAGAUGUGAAGAACAUAAUCAUCUGAAGGUAGAAAAAAAGGAACCACUGACACACAAAGAUAUCAGCUUCAUAUCUAUUCUUGGACUUCUUUCCCUAUGUGCAACACUGUAUACCAGUAUGGAUUAAAGGAAAGCUGUCAUCUUUUAGACCAUGCCUCCAGUCACCAGCUAACUCCCUCAUGCGUUGAAUCCCCACAAUUUAUGUAUCAACUGUAAAGAGACUGAUCUGGUUUUCAACAUCCUGUAUGAGUUUGUGGACAAACACAUUGAACAGAGCAGGACCCUAGAGUGGCCCAUGCUUCACUGCUCUGAUUAGCUAUUUUUUGUGAACUCUAUUUCAAUAUGCCCCUGGGACUGGUUGUGCUAUCCCUAGCCUCUGUUUUGUUGGAAUGUUCGUUCAGUUCCUUGGCAGAAACCACCUGCUCAGUACUUGACUUGCUUACAUGUAUAGAAUUAGGGCCAAAGCUAAAAGCAAAUCAUCUACAUAGUAAAUUUUACAUCCCCAAAAUGUUUAUCAGUUUUGGAUUUAAAACUUUAAAUAUUUGGUGUGGCUUUAAAAUCCAGCAUGAGCUGAGUCCACAAAGAUACAUGUUACAACAUUCAGAGGCAAGAAUUUGUAGCUUUAGACCUUCUUUUUUGUAACCAUGAAGAAUUCUUGUAUUGCUUUGUAUGCUCUUAGGCAAGCAUCCCUGUUUUUGCUGGUACAUUCCAGCAGUCAUUCUGUGAUUUGUUAAUGUGUAAAAUAAAACAUAAACCUGCUA